UGCAAGUCGAGCGGAAUUUUAUUGGUGCUUGCACCUUUAAAAUUUUAGCGGCGGACGGGUGAGUAACACGUGGGUAACCUACCUUAUAGAUUGGGAUAACUCCGGGAAACCGGGGCUAAUACCGAAUAAUACUUUUUAACACAUGUUUGAAAGUUGAAAGACGGUUUCGGCUGUCACUAUAAGAUGGACCCGCGGCGCAUUAGCUAGUUGGUGAGGUAACGGCUCACCAAGGCAACGAUGCGUAGCCGACCUGAGAGGGUGAUCGGCCACACUGGGACUGAGACACGGCCCAGACUCCUACGGGAGGCAGCAGUAGGGAAUCUUCCACAAUGGACGAAAGUCUGAUGGAGCAACGCCGCGUGAGUGAAGAAGGAUUUCGGUUCGUAAAACUCUGUUGCAAGGGAAGAACAAGUAGCGUAGUAACUGGCGCUACCUUGACGGUACCUUGUUAGAAAGCCACGGCUAACUACGUGCCAGCAGCCGCGGUAAUACGUAGGUGGCAAGCGUUGUCCGGAAUUAUUGGGCGUAAAGCGCGCGCAGGUGGUUCCUUAAGUCUGAUGUGAAAGCCCCCGGCUCAACCGGGGAGGGUCAUUGGAAACUGGGGAACUUGAGUGCAGAAGAGGAUAGUGGAAUUCCAAGUGUAGCGGUGAAAUGCGUAGAGAUUUGGAGGAACACCAGUGGCGAAGGCGACUGUCUGGUCUGUAACUGACACUGAGGCGCGAAAGCGUG
rnacentral:rRNA from 2 species